rnacentral:lncRNA from 1 species
CAUGCAAAUCCCUGUCACUGCUAGAUAUGUGUCCCUGCCCAGCUCCCAUCUCAAACAGGAGUGGCCCCAAACGCUGUGCUCCGUGUGGCAGAGAGUAGAAGAGACACACAGAUCAGACUGAUGGAUGAAAUGGGCACCAACUAACUGGAUGAUUCCAGGAACUGCUACUAUCAACCUGGAUAGCCCAGCCAGCCACGGCACCUGGAAUUGUUCCCACUGAAAUACAGGCUGGAGUAAAGUGUUGUCAGCUGGAUGGCUGCUGCAGUUCCAGCCCUCAAAUCAGCACCCCAAAGAAAAGCAUCACUUCUGGAAGCUGGGCCAGAAGAUCGAAGAAGAAUGUUUCUUUGAUGCAUCUUAUUGACCAAAAUUGGGCCACAUGCCUGUUCCUGAGCCAUCACCAGGAAAGAAGUGGAAAAGCACAUUGCUCAGGGCCAGAGAGAGUGUCAGCUUUCCUCAAGGUAUCUGGACUGGUUAAGGAGCUCAGGUAUAUAAUUCUUCCUGCAGAAGGAUGUGGGCUGUGUUUGCAUGUGUAUGAGACCAGACUCUGCGGCUGCCCGUUUGUUUUGGUUGUCUUAAUGAUGAUCGUGGAUUGCUUCAGGACCGAUGGGUCUGCAGCCUCUGGACCCGUAAGAGAGAUGGCCCAAAUGAGCAAACGGGUUCAACUUAUGAUGGCACCUUACAGUUUUGAGGUCAAACUAGAUGUGACAUCUGUCACCUCUCUGUCACAAGAGCUUGACAUGUCUCUGCUUUUCCUCAUUGCUCAGGAUGCAUGCUUCCCGAGGCUGGACAUCUCAUCUUCCAUCACGAGGUGUCUAUGGAGCCCAGGAAAAGCCAGAGGAGCCUCAACAGCUGGAUGCUAUAAAUGCCUCAGUUUUGGCACUCAUCUUUCAAUCACUUCACUAAUCGUAUAUAGAAUAUUCAGGAAAAGGAUGUUUGCCAUGGAUGCAUCAUCUGCUUCCCAGCUCUGCAGUAUCUGA